rnacentral:rRNA from 1 species
GCGGGUUGGGACCUCACUUUGGUGAGGGCUCCAGCUUGUCUGAAUUAUUCACCCAUGUCUUUUGCGCACUUCUUGUUUCCUGGGCGGGUUCGCCCGCCACCAGGACCAAACCAUAAACCUUUUUGUAAUUGCAAUCAGCGUCAGUAAACAAUGUAAUUAUUACAACUUUCAACAACGGAUCUCUUGGUUCUGGCAUCGAUGAAGAACGCAGCGAAAUGCGAUACGUAGUGUGAAUUGCAGAAUUCAGUGAAUCAUCGAAUCUUUGAACGCACAUUGCGCCCUUUGGUAUUCCAAAGGGCAUGCCUGUUCGAGCGUCAUUUGUACCCUCAAGCUUUGCUUGGUGUUGGGCGUCUUUGUCUCUCACGAGACUCGCCUUAAAAUGAUUGGCAGCCGACCUACUGGUUUCGGAGCGCAGCACAAUUCUUGCACUUUGAAUCAGCCUUGGUUGAGCAUCCAUCAAGACCACAUUUUUUAACUUUUGAC